GAAGGGCUAAUUAUCAAACUUUACUUCACCUUAUUGUCUGAGAAGGCCAUGUGCCGUAAUCUUAACAUGUUAAAACUUUCAACAACGGAUCUCUUGGCUCUCGCAUCGAUGAAGAACGCAGCGAAAUGCGAUAAGUAAUGUGAAUUGCAGAAUUCAGUGAAUCAUCGAAUCUUUGAACGCACAUUGCGCCCUUUGGUAUUCCUUAGGGCAUGCCUGUUCGAGCGUCGCAAAAACCCAGAUCACCUAGAGUGUGGUAUUGGCAGAAGUGGCCAGGGCUAUCAGCGCUGCUGCCACUCUGCUGGAAUGAAUAGGCUGGAAAAGUAGAUCAUAGCAACAGACUUUCACAGUAUUUUGAAAUGCUAAAUUAGUUUGAAGCUGAUCGGAACCUAAGCCAUUUGACCCCCAUCCUGCGUAAAGCAGUAAGGUUGACCUCGGAUCAGGUAGGGAUACCCGCUGAACUUAAGCAUAU
rnacentral:rRNA from 1 species